rnacentral:rRNA from 1 species
UACGGAGGGUGCAAGCGUUGCUCGGAAUUAUUGGGCGUAAAGGGUAGGUAGGUGGUCUCGUUUGUCUGGGGUGAAAGCCUUGAGCUUAACUCAAGAAGUGCCCCAGAAACGGCGAGACUGGAGUCUUGGAGAGGGUCGUGGAAUUCCCGGUGUAGCGGUGAAAUGCGUAGAGAUCGGGAGGAACACCAGAGGCGAAAGCGGCGACCUGGGUCGACACUGACGCUGAGGCGCGAAAGCCAGGGGAGCGAAAGGG